ensembl:lncRNA
AGUAUUUCCGUAACCUUCUUGUUACUACCAAAAUCAGAUUUUCCUGACCGUUCUACUAUGACCGUGUAGCCGAGCUAAAUUUAAUUUGAUUGUUUUAUUUUUUGGUCAUGUUCCUACCUUUAUUUUUUAUUGUGAACUCCCCCAAAGAUUGGUUCCUGCGUAAGUUGGUUCCACAUUGUUGUUUUCUAUGCCAUGCCUUUUUGUUUCCCUGGGGAGUGGUUUGGCGUUGCACCGGUGUGUCUAGCCUCAGUGGGCGCUGAUGCACGGAGCUGGUGAGUUGGGUUUGUGUCUCUCUCCCUUUUGAUUUUUUGUAAAACUUUUGAUUGUCGCCCUUGGACGGUUGUGGUGGUUCACACUGCUUUGCGUCGUGCUUUUGGGCACGCGGGAGAAAUUCCCUGGUGUGUAGACAAUUUUCAGUCAUUGAACUGAUGGAAGGGCGGACUUUGUUUGUUUAGCUUUUAGAUGUUCCGUGAACUAGCUUGAGCCGGUGGCAGUUUGCUACAGGAUUUCGUGGCCGCGUGAGAUUUGGCAUGGGCUACGGGGUUUCCUGGCCGCGUGGGAUUCGGCAUGUGAGGAGGAUCGUUGCAUGUCUUGUGUUGACGUUUUAAAUGCAGUUGCAUGAUUCAGUAUGUGUGGUCAAUUGUUCGUUUCCUUUGUUUUGUAGAGUGGAGAGAGAUAUUCUGGAUUGUGUGUGUCGCCCGUGUUAUUUUGUCUCCUUUAAAAGGAUAUGUCUAGCUUGAGAAGGCGCUGAUCCAUGGAGCUGAAUGGAGAGAGAUAUGCUGGAUUGUGUGUGACGCCAGUGUUUUUUUGUCCUUUAAAAUAAAUAAACCUCCAUAACUCGA